CUGCCGUGAUGAUUUCAGUCUGGUUUCGCUUAUGUCGGACACGUUGUGAAGACAUUUCUCUUGGCUGGCUGAGCAG